AUUUUAGACGAAAAUAUGUUGAUCCGGGACGGUGUAUGUUGAUACGGAACUUUCACAGCACAGCACAGUUCAGUAUGUUGUUGUAGUAUGUGGCGAUUUCUUCUUUAGUUGUUCGCCAAAACGCUCAAAGAAGACGUCUUCCGCUUGGUAUUCCGGGAGUGCAAUCUGGACACAGUCGUGGCUCUGUCGGAGACAACACAAGCUGUGCCUCGAGGUUUUCAAGACGCUGGAAGGCUCGUGGUCCGGCUGGUGAGGAGGUCGCGACAAACCCUGAGCCAUGACCACGACAACCUGCUGCUCAUCAAGGACCUCAGUGCCGCCAUGUCUAGGUGUCGCAACGACGUGGACGCAAUUGCCACAUGGGAUAUUGCCAAAGAUUCCAGUGUGCGGCGUGGGAUGAAGGCGCUGUUUGAAGAAAAGCUGGACACGGGGGUCCUUGAAGACUACCAGCUGAAGCGAACCAGCUGGAGCGAACCAGUUGGAGCGAACCAGUUGGAGCGAACCAGUUGGAGCGAACACAUUUGGUGGGUAUGCAUACGAAUGUGGAUCUGAGAACAUUGUUCAGAGAGAGAUCAUCACCAAGCGAGGAACAAAGGUCUGGCACGCACACGCCGAUGGUUGGGUCCAGCUGGUGGACGACAAACGACCACCUGAUCCAGGCGCGCUGGACCGUUUUGCACCAGGUGGUGGACAAGAUGCUGCACAAGGCACCGCAUACCAAGGCCCCUGAUGGCGCCAUUCUCGUGUGUCCCGGGCUGUGGUAAUGGAGUACAAACCAGAGGACCCGCCAACAUCUUACCUGGCUUGUAUUGAGCCGAACGCCGAGCUCUUGAGACCUAUUUUGUGUACGAUUCCGUCGCAUUGAGUACGUGUACUUUUUCAUUCACGGCCGGUUUCUGCAACUGCGGGUCGAUUUGGGCUACAGAAUACCGCUCGACAACUGUCUGGGAGACGACGAGGACUGGAAGCAGGACCGGAGGACGAGAUGGCGUGCUCUGAGGGUGUGGGACAAAAAUCUAGCUGCCAUCGGCACCAUGAACCACUCGCAGUACGACAACCUCAAUUGGGCCACUGUUCGUGGCCGCAAUGACGGUGUUCUGAAUCGGUUUGUUGCCCUACAUGGAAUUGUGGGUGCGUUGUGGGUGAACUGCUCACCGGAAAGACUUUUCUGGCCAUCGAAAUCCUGCAAUACAAGCAGGCGGCCCCCCAAAUAGCAAUACCAUAUGCUGCCGGGUAAAAGGAGAGACCCGUGGGCUUGUACACUGGAUUCCAUGGUGUGUGCGUGUCUCGACCAGGGGCUGGGGAUAUCUCACAUGACGGGAAGCACGCGUAAUCAGAGCUGCUCUGUGGAUAUGACUAGUGUGUUCAACGAUUGGUGUGCUGCUCAGCGGGAUCGAUGGGACACCGAGCGUCAUUGGUAACACGACUCUCAAUAUACGAAGACGUGGUUGGUGAUGGUAUCUAUCUUUUCACUCGAUGACAAAAUCCGCUGAACGAAAUCUAUCCAGAAACAUCAAUACCCGCUAGCAAUUCAGAAGGAUUGACGACCCCAAACCUCUCCGACGAAUCAUCAACUCCCAGACUGGUAAAUGUACUCUUGGAACCUGUAAAGGAUACAUGGGUUAGUCAGGGUAUCAAACGCGAUGAACCACCACGGCUGGCGCGAAUGGUCGUGGGCCAGUAAUCUCACUUGAACAUCAUCCGAUUGUCAGGUGCUAUUACUGCCAACCUAUGCAAAUCCACUACAAACACAUGUGCCCCUUCGAUAGCCCCGCCGGGUAUCGUAAUUCACGUGUCUUCCGAGCCAACUACAGAUACCUACAAGUGUGAGUAUCUGGGAGGUGUGGACUAUGGAUUUCCGAUGGUAUGACGACCAGGGGUGCUAGGAUCAACACCAACCUUGUACAAGCACAAGGUAGACUUCUACUACGAGUAUCAAGUGCCAGGACAUCUUCAACACUCUAUGUCUUCGAUCAGGAUAUCAUCGACAGUAUGUACUGUACUUGUCUCUUGUACGAUUAUACUACGAGUACAUACCAUCACCGAAGUUGUACCUGAAUAAUCGUCUAAUAAUUGACGAAAAUACUGGUAAUACUGUCAGAUCUCUGAUGAUGGCAAGACCAAGACAACUAGUUCACCAGGACAUUACUCACGAUCGAAACCCGACAACAGUUCAGAAUUGUUAUUUUGUCAGUUCUAAACCUGACACCAGUUCAGACUUGUAUUUCGUCAAACAAUGCCCACAAUGUACGCAAGUAUCUGCGGAUAUUUCCGUCGGAUUUGGACUUUACCCAACUCUCCAUGAUGUUGGUACCAGUCCAAGUAAAACCCCAAGUAUGGUGUUCAUAUUACUAACAUCUUACUUAACUCUACAACAAAAACUCCAACAAAGAACAACCCAACUGAACUAGAAGUUGAAAAACCGUGACCAGCGCCACUUCCACUGUUCAAUCACGUGACCAGCCCUUCUUCCCCCGCUCACUCACCGCUCAAACGCGUGACCCCGUGUGCACUGGACAACUUCUGCCCAUAUCGCCACACAUUUCACAUCAACUAUUAAAAUUAAAUAAACCGCCGCAAACUUCCAUGUUAACCCUAACCCUGAUC
rnacentral:misc_RNA from 1 species